UACGUAGGGGGCAAGCGUUGUCCGGAAUCAUUGGGCGUAAAGAGCGUGUAGGCGGUCCGGUAAGUCGGCUGUGAAAGUCCAGGGCUCAACCCUGGGAUGCCGGUCGAUACUGCCGGACUAGAGUUCGGAAGAGGCGAGUGGAAUUCCCGGUGUAGCGGUGAAAUGCGCAGAUAUCGGGAGGAACACCUAUGGCGAAGGCAGCUCGCUGGGACGUUACUGACUCUGAGACGCGAAAGCGUGGGGAGCAAACAGG
rnacentral:rRNA from 1 species